rnacentral:tRNA from 1 species
UCCCAUAUGGUCUAGCGGUUAGGAUUUCUGGUUUUCAAAUAGACGUGCCAGGUUUAUACCCCCGGUACGGGAA